rnacentral:rRNA from 1 species
UAAGUAACGAUAAAGCGGGUGAAAAGCCCGCUCGCCGGAAGACCAAGGGUUCCUGUCCAACGUUAAUCGGGGCAGGGUGAGUCGACCCCUAAGGCGAGGCCGAAAGGCGUAGUCGAUGGGAAACAGGUUAAUAUUCCUGUACUUGGUGUUACUGCGAAGGGGGGACGGAGAAGGCUAUGUUAGCCGGGCGACGGUUGUCCCGGUUUAAGCAUGUAGGCUGAUUAUCCAGGCAAAUCCGGAUAAUCAAGGCUGAGGUGUGAUGACGAGGCACUACGGUGCUGAAGUAACAAAUGCCCUGCUUCCAGGAAAAGCCUCUAAGCAUCAGGUAACAUCAAAUCGUACC